UAGGGAAUCUUCGGCAAUGGACGGAAGUCUGACCGAGCAACGCCGCGUGAGUGAAGAAGGUUUUCGGAUCGUAAAGCUCUGUUGUAAGAGAAGAACGAGUGUGAGAGUGGAAAAUUCACACUGUGACGGUAUCUUACCAGAAAGGGACGGCUAACUACGUGCCAGCAGCCGCGGUAAUACGUAGGUCCCGAGCGUUGUCCGGAUUUAUUGGGCGUAAAGCGAGCGCAGGCGGUUAGAUAAGUCUGAAGUUAAAGGCUGUGGCUUAACCAUAGUACGCUUUGGAAACUGUUUAACUUGAGUGCAAGAGGGGAGAGUGGAAUUCCAUGUGUAGCGGUGAAAUGCGUAGAUAUAUGGAGGAACACCGGUGGCGAAAGCGGCUCUCUGGCUUGUAACUGACGCUGAGGCUCGAAAGCGUGGGGAGCAAACAGGAUUAGAUACCCUGGUAGUCCACGCCGUAAACGAUGAGUGCUAGGUGUUAGACCCUUUCCGGGGUUUAGUGCCGUAGCUAACGCAUUAAGCACUCCGCCUGGGGAGUACGACCGCAAGGUUG
rnacentral:rRNA from 1 species